rnacentral:rRNA from 1 species
AAAUGAAGAUUUUGUGACUGAGUGGCGGACGGGUGAGUAACGCGUGGGUAACCUGCCUCAUACAGGGGGAUAACAGUUGGAAACGACUGCUAAUACCGCAUAAGCGCACAGGAUUGCAUGAUCCGGUGUGAAAAACUCCGGUGGUAUGAGAUGGACCCGCGUCUGAUUAGCUAGUUGGCAGGGCAGCGGCCUACCAAGGCGACGAUCAGUAGCCGACCUGAGAGGGUGACCGGCCACAUUGGGACUGAGACACGGCCCAAACUCC